AUUGAACGCUGGCGGCAUGCCUUACACAUGCAAGUCGAACGGUAACAGGUUAAGCUGACGAGUGGCGAACGGGUGAGUAAUAUAUCGGAACGUGCCCAGUCGUGUGGGAUAACGUAGCGAAAGCUACGCUAAUACCGCAUACGAUCUACGGAUGAAAGCGGGGGAUCGCAAGACCUCGCGCGAUUGGAGCGGCCGAUAUCAGAUUAGGUUGUUGGUGAGGUAAAAGCUCACCAAGCCUGCGAUCUGUAGCUGGUCUGAGAGGACGACCAGCCACACUGGAACUGAGACGCGGUCCAGACUCCUACGGGAGGCAGCAGUGGGGAAUUUUGGACAAUGGACGCAAGUCUGAUCCAGCAUGCCGCGUGCAGGACGAAGGCCUUCGGGUUGUAAACUGCUUUUGUACGGAACGAAACGGUGAGCUCUAAUACAGUUUGCUAAUGACGGUACCGUAAGAAUAAGCACCGGCUAACUACGUGCCAGCCGCCGCAGUAA
rnacentral:rRNA from 1 species